UGACAUCCUCUGCCACUCCUGGAGACAGGACGUUCCCCUUCGGGGGACAGAGUGACAGGUGGUGCAUGGUUGUCGUCAGCUCGUGUCGUGAGAUGUUGGGUUAAGUCCCGCAACGAGCGCAACCCUUGAUCUUAGUUGCCAGCAUUCAGUUGGGCACUCUAAGGUGACUGCCGGUGACAAACCGGAGGAAGGUGGGGAUGACGUCAAAUCAUCAUGCCCCUUAUGACCUGGGCUACACACGUGCUACAAUGGAUAGAACAAAGGGCAGCGAAGCCGCGAGGUGAAGCCAAUCCCAUAAAUCUAUUCUCAGUUCGGAUUGCAGGCUGCAACUCGGCUGCAUG
rnacentral:rRNA from 1 species